CCGCGGGAAUUCGAUUAGAGUUUGAUCCUGGCUCAGGACGAACGCUGGCGGCGUGCCUAAUACAUGCAAGUCGAGCGAAUGAUGAAGAAGCUUGCUUCUUCUGAUUUAGCGGCGGACGGGUGAGUAACACGUGGGCAACCUACCUAGUAAUUGGGAUAACUCCGGGAAACCGGGGCUAAUACCGAAUAAUCCAUUUUGUCACAUGGCAAAAUGCUGAAAGGCGGUUUCGGCUGUCACUACUAGAUGGGCCCACGGUGCAUUACUAGUUGGUGGGGUAAUGGCCUACCAAGGCAACGAUGCAUAGCCGACCUGAGAGGGUGAUCGGCCACAUUGGGACUGAGACACGGCCCAAACUCCUACGGGAGGCAGCAGUAGGGAAUCUUCCACAAUGGACGAAAGUCUGAUGGAGCAACGCCGCGUGAGUGAUGAAGGUUUUCGGAUCGUAAAACUCUGUUGUAAGGGAAGAACAAGUACGUUAGUAACUGAACGUACCUUGACGGUACCUUAUUAGAAAGCCACGGCUAACUACGUGCCAGCAGCCGCGGUAAUACGUAGGUGGCAAGCGUUGUCCGGAUUUAUUGGGCGUAAAGCGCGCGCAGGUGGUUUCUUA
rnacentral:rRNA from 1 species